rnacentral:tRNA from 1 species
GCUAUGGCCAAGUGGUAAGGCAUCAGGUUUUGGUCCUGACAUGCGCAGGUUCGAAUCCUGCUAGC